rnacentral:rRNA from 1 species
UACGGAGGGUGCAAGCGUUAUCCGGAAUCACUGGGUUUAAAGGGUGCGUAGGCGGCCUGUCAAGUCAGGGGUGAAAUGUCUUCGCUUAACGAAGAAAUUGCCUUUGAUACUGUCGGGCUUGAAACAGGUUGAGGUUGGCGGAAUGUGGCAUGUAGCGGUGAAAUGCAUAGAUAUGCCAUAGAACACCGAUUGCGUAGGCAGCUGGCUGGACCUGGAUUGACGCUGAGGCACGAAAGCGUGGGGAUCAAACAGG